AUUGAACGCUGGCGGCAUGCCUUACACAUGCAAGUCGAACGGCAGCACGGGAGCAAUCCUGGUGGCGAGUGGCGAACGGGUGAGUAAUAUAUCGGAACGUGCCCAGUCGUGGGGAUAACGUAGCGAAAGCUACGCUAAUACCGCAUACGAUCUAAGGAUGAAAGCGGGGGGAUCGCAAGACCUCGCGCGAUUGGAGCGGCCGAUAUCAGAUUAGCUAGUUGGUGAGGUAAAGGCUCACCAAGGCGACGAUCUGUAGCUGGUCUGAGAGGACGACCAGCCACACUGGGACUGAGACACGGCCCAGACUCCUACGGGAGGCAGCAGUGGGAAUUUUGGACAAUGGGCGCAAGCCUGAUCCAGCAAUGCCGCGUGCAGG
rnacentral:rRNA from 1 species